rnacentral:rRNA from 1 species
UAUUAAGGGCGUAUGGUGGGAUGCCCUUGGGCACUAGGAGCCCGAUGAAGGGACCGUUGACUUAACUGCGAUAUGCUUCGGGGAG